rnacentral:rRNA from 1 species
CAGCAGCCGCGGGAAUACGAAGGGGGCAAGCGUUAAUCGGAAUUACUGGGCGUAAAGCGUGCGCAGGCGGUUCGUUAAGACAGAUGUGAAAUCCCCGGGCUUAACCUGGGAACUGCAUUUGUGACUGGCGAGCUAGAGUAUGGCAGAGGGGGGUAGAAUUCCACGUGUAGCAGUGAAAUGCGUAGAGAUGUGGAGGAAUACCGAUGGCGAAGGCAGCCCCCUGGGCCAAUACUGACACUCAUGCACGAAAGCGUGGGGAGCAAACAGGAUUAGAUACCCCUGUAGUCCCUGUCUCUUAUAC